AGACACAAUCACUGUCAUAUUUUUUUCAGAGAGGCAUGAUGGCCUCUGCUUAGAGUAGGGACAUUGUCUUAUAUCCAAGAGCUUCUCUUUCAUAUAGCGAUGGGAGGAUUUGGAGAUGGGCAGUUUCUUCAGGUCAAGGAAAGCAUCUCCAUUUUCUGUUUCAUCCACACUUCUCUUCUUCAUGGCUUCUUGGUGUACAAUUUCUUUUUCACCUUUAAUUAUCUUUAAUACAAAGGAAACCAAAAGUAGUCGCUGCCACCCACGAGAAUUGGCCUGGCAGUGGUGGUGGUGGUGAAGUUUCCUGGAGUAGAGUAGAGGUAGGAUUGGUUGGGCUGCUGGAAAGUGCCUGCCACUUGUGAAUGGAUGGCACCAGCUGCUCCUAUUAUUACCACAGUGUAAGGGGCUGGGAAACCAGCUUUAGCAUACCUCUCUCAGCCGGCCACCCCUAGCCCCUCACCCAGGCCCAGGGUUAGAGGCUUCUCCGGAAGAAGGGCAAGGACGGUACUUACUGAGGGAGGCCGGCCACAGGCCACCCGCGCGCCUCACGCCUCUGCUCCCCACCCCUGUGCACCCAUCUGCCCGCACCACAGUGCGCUGUUCUCGCGCGCAGGCCAAGGUUCCACACUUGUGGUACCCUUGCUCCAAGUGCCUGCCUGGUCCCUGCGCCUCUGCCACCGCGUCCCCCGGCACCCACUCCAAAGUCAAAUUGUGUCUCUUCUUUUUUGAUGGAAGAUAAUGUUUUAUGGUUAAAGGGGCACAUAGCCAAUAGAUCUCAUAUCACUUACUGCUUUCUCCUUCAGGAGAGAAUCUUGUGACAUGGGUGGAGGGAAUUCCAAACCCAUGGAAAUCAUUUCCAGUUUCAAACAAGUUUAAGUGAGUCAAGGAGAGACUAACAGGCACUUAAUGAAAACGUGAGUGAUCAGUUUGCCUGGAAGACUCAGCUCCUCUGGGUGUUAAGUGUUGGCCUGGUGCCUAUGGGAUGAGGAAGUGGAACAGGGAAGUGCAGAAGUUGUUGUGUAGAUAGUUUCUAGGCUGGUGUGCCAGUUAUUUUUCUGUUGCUGAGGUGGUAUAUCAUAGGGAGAACAAUUUAUAAAAAGUGUUUAAUUUGGCUUAAAGUUGCAAAGGGUUAGAGUCCAUGAUGGGUUUCAGAGGCAGUGACAAAAAGCUGAGCUACAAUCAUAAGGAUGAGAAUGCACAUGUAAAUGAGCACCAGGAAUAGCACAAGUCUUUUGAAACCUCGAAGCCUGCCCUCAACACCUCCUCCAACAAGGCUACUCCUCUAGUCCUUCCCAAUCAGUCCCACCAAAUGGGGACUAAAUAUUGAACUGUAUGAACCUAUGGGGUCAUUCUUAUCCAAACCACCACAGAUAGUUUGCAUGCCUAUGUGUGUGUAAUGCUUGUCUUAUUUAUCCCUGUGUUUCAAUAUAUGUGUGCUUGAGUGUUUCUAGAGGACUCUCCCAUGCUUGCUGUAACAUUGACCAGCAAAUGAACAGAAAAGCUGAAUCUUGUUAAAUAAAAUUACCCCAAUAUUGGUGUCCUAUAGUUAAACCCAUCUUGUCUACAUCUGUGCUGCUUACAAUAAGGAUAGUAGUCACACAACUGUGAUGGCUUUGACAAUUUUCUCCUACAGCCCUGAGAUGCCACGGAGUAUCACGGGUGUGUUCUUCGUCAGCAAGUGGUGUAUUUGAGGGUAUGGAAUGCAAGCAUUCAUAUGCACAUGUGAGCAGAUGGGUACUUGUGCAUAUGUGCAUCUAUAUGCAAGAGUCCUUCUGCCAUAUUGGCUGAGACAUUGAAGCCACCACAGAGAGAGGUGACUCUUUAGCCAUUUGGAGAUAAAGAAGGGUUGAGGUGGAUGCAGCCUUUGCCUUUGUGAGUGCACUGAUGAUUCUGGGGUGGAUGGUACUUCUUUGUGCAAAAGGGACAUAUAAUGCAUGGGGAGGAAAUGCUGAGUUACCAACUUGGGGCGGUGGGGGUGGUGGUGGUGGUCUCUAAAUGAAUUAUUCUUCCACCUUCUAAGAGUCACUCUGCCCGACACCCACCUGUCUGAUUAGUACUCCCUGCUUAUUCCACCGAAAGGAAAACUGGUCAGGCUGCAGGCUUGGAGAUUAUUUGGAACCUGUCAUAUGACAGGUAGAGAUGUUCCUGAUCACCCCAAACAUUUCAAAAAGGGAACACAUUAAUGUAAUUUUUUUCUUUUAGAUAUGAUCAUAACUGUCCUAUCUUGUCUUCUGUCUGAAUAGUUGAUCUUGGUUGGUAACUAGGUGGGUGUAUAGUUGAUGGGAAGAAUCUGAAAGCAGGUACAGUACCAAUAAUAACCACUAUGGGUGGUGGCAACACAUCUUUCUCAUUUACUGAGAUAUACUAGGCAGUAGCCACCCCAGGUAUCCUAGACUUUAUCUCAAAGCUGCUUCAUACUACUUAUCCUCUCAAUGCCGUGUUCUUCUUGUGUUAGAGAAGGAAAAACUAAACAGUGGAGAGCUCAGCUAUCUGUGGACAUGAGUGUGGGCUUUGUAGAUGUGUGUAUGUGUGUGUGAGCGCGCGAUUGAAAGUAUGUAUUAGGGCUCUCUAGGAAUAAAGAGUAAUAAAAUGAGAAAAUUACACACAUACACACACACACACCAUAAAAUGUAUUAGAGUGAUUUAUAGGUUGUCAUCCAGCUAAAUCCAACAAUGACUGCCAAUUGAUAAGAAAGGGAAAACAUCUGGUUAAGUCCACAGGAUGGGAUAUCCUGGCUGGCUUUCAGUGUUGGAAUCCUAAAGAAGUAGGUUCUAGCUGGGCAGUGGUGGCACAUGCCUUUAAUCCCAGCACUUGGGAGGCAGAGGCAGGCAGAUUUCUGAGUUCGAGGCCAGCCUGGUCUACAGAGUGAGUUCCAGGACAGCCUGGGCUACACAGAGAAACCCUGUCUUGAAAAAACCAAAAAACCCAAAACAACAACAACAAAAAAAGUAGGUUCUAAUACUAGUAAAGGAAUGCUCUGGUAACAGAUGAACUUGGCAGAAUGUGAGGGCCAGGAGGAAAGGGCAAAGCUUUUUUCGUCCAUGUCCUUUUGUGUAGACUGUCGCCAAAAGAUGUAGCCCAGAUUUAGGAUGGGUCUUCUUACUUCAAAUGAUACAGUCAAGAAAAUCCUUCAUAGCCAUGUCCAGAUGCUUGGAUAUUAGUUGAUUCCACAUGCUGUCAACUUGACUACCAAGAUUAGCUCUCACAAGUGCUAAACUCAAUCCUCCAUGGCUUCAGAAUGGUCAUUCUAACUGUAUAGAUGUUCACUAAGAUGUGUAGUUUGUCACUUGGAAAAUGUUUGAGUGUCUACUUUAAUCUAGCUUCGUGUGUUUUAUUUGUGAACUUGUUCCAACAAAGUGAUUAAAUUUAAUAAAGGAUUGAAACUUAGUGAUUUAGA
ensembl:lincRNA